AGAGUUUGAUCAUGGCUCAAAAUCAACGCUGGCGGCGCGCUUAACACAUGCAAGUCGAACGAGAAAGCCCGCAAGGGUGAGUAAAGUGGCGUACGGGUGAGUAACACGUGGGUAAUCUACCUUCUGGUGGGGGAUAACCCUGGGAAACCGGGGCUAAUACCGCAUAAUCCCGUGAGGGAAAAGGAGAAAUCCGCCGGAAGAGGAGCCCGCGGCUGAUUAGCUAGUUGGUGAGGUAAUGGCUCACCAAGGCAAUGAUCGGUAGCCGGCCUGAGAGGGCACACGGCCACACUGGCACUGAAACACGGGCCAGACUCCUACGGGAGGCAGCAGUGGGGGAAUCUUGCCAAUGGGGAACCCUGAUGCAGCGACGCCGCGUGAGCGAUGAGCCCUUCGGGUGUAAAGCUCUUUCGGCAGGACGAUAUGACGGUACUUGAAAAAAGCUGCGGCUAACUACGUGCCACAGCCGCGUAAUACUAGGCAGCA
rnacentral:rRNA from 1 species